AGAGUUUGAUCCUGAUCCUGGCUCAGGAUGAACGCUGACAGAAUGCUUAACACAUGCAAGUCAACUUGAAUUUGGGUUUUUUAACUUAGAUUUGGGUGGCGGACGGGUGAGUAACGCGUAAAGAACUUGCCUCACAGCUAGGGACAACAUUUGGAAACGAAUGCUAAUACCUGAUAUUAUGAUUUUAAGGCAUCUUAGAAUUAUGAAAGCUAUACGCGCUGUGAGAGAGCUUUGCGUCCCAUUAGCUAGUUGGAGAGGUAACGGCUCACCAAGGCGAUGAUGGGUAGCCGGCCUGAGAGGGUGAACGGCCACAAGGGGACUGAGACACGGCCCUUACUCCUACGGGAGGCAGCAGUGGGGAAUAUUGGACAAUGGACCAAGAGUCUGAUCCAGCAAUUCUGUGUGCACGAUGACGUUUUUCGGAAUGUAAAGUGCUUUCAGUUGGGAAGAAAAAAAUGACGGUACCAACAGAAGAAGUGACGGCUAAAUACGUGCCAGCAGCCGCGGU
rnacentral:rRNA from 1 species